rnacentral:rRNA from 1 species
CCUACGGGUGGCAGCAGUGAGGAAUAUUGGUCAAUGGACGGAAGUCUGAACCAGCCAUGCCGCGUGCAGGACGACGGCUCUAUGAGUUGUAAACUUCUUUUGUACAAGGGUAAACCUGAGUACGUGUAUUCAGCUGAAAGUACUUGACGAAUAAGGAUCGGCUAACUCCGUGCCAGCAGCCGCGGUAAUACGGAGGAUCCAAGCGUUAUCCGGAUUUAUUGGGUUUAAAGGGUGCGUAGGCGGAUUGUUAAGUUAGCGGUGAAAUGUCCGAGCUUAACCCGGGCACUGCCUUUAAUACUGGUGAUCUAGAGAGGAGAUGCGGUAGGCGGAAUGUAUGGUGUAGCGGUGAAAUGCUUAGAGAU